rnacentral:rRNA from 1 species
GAUGAACGCUGGCGGCGUUCCUAAUACAUGCAAGUCGAGCGAACGGACGAGAAGCUUGCUUCUCUGAUGUUAGCGGCGGACGGGUGAGUAACACGUUGAUAACCUACCUAUAAGACUGGGAUAACUUCGGGAAACCGGAGCUAAUACCGGAUAAUAUUUUGAACCGCAUGGUUCAAAAGUGAAAGACGGUCUUGCUGUCACUUAUAGAUGGAUCCGCGCUGCAUUAGCUAGUUGGUAAGGUAACGGCUUACCAAGGCAACGAUGCAUAGCCGACCUGAGAGGGUGAUACGCCACACUGGAACUGAGACACGGUCCAGACUACUACGGAAGGCAGCAGUAGGGAAUCUUCCGCAAUGGGCGAAAGCCUGACGGAGCAACGCCGCGUGAGUGAUGAAGGUCUUCGGAUCGUAAAACUCUGUUAUUAGGGAGAAACAUAUGUAUAAGUAACUGUGCACAUCUUGACGGUACCUAAUCGGAAAGCCACGGCUAACUACGUG